GUCUCGGUAGCUUCGAGGCAAAGCGCCAGCCUACGGAUCUCCAAGUGUCGGGUUCGAAUCCCGGCCGAGGUG
rnacentral:tRNA from 1 species